UCUCCGCGUGAUGUGACCCCCACUCACCGCCACCCCCCCCCCCCUGCACACGGUGGCGAGACGCGAGACGCGAGGCAGUGUCCGCCUUCUCCAGCGCGCUGACGGUGGGGCUGGAUUCAUUUUGCUGGACCCGUGCAAAUUCCACAUUCAUAUGCCGAAGACCGGGUGCCUCAGGAGGACAAGUACGAGUUUUCAAUUGGUACCGAUUUGAAGGACCCCGCAGGAAUGACGAGCUAGGUUCACCACCCAGGGACCAGGUAUCUCACUGAGUUCACCACCCAGGGGCCAGGUAUCUCACUGAGUUCACCACCCAGGGGCCAGCUAUCUCACUGAGUUCAGCACCCAGGUAUCUCACUGAGUUCACCACCCAGGGACCAGGUAUCUCACUGAGUUCACCACCCAGGUAUCUCACUGAGUUCACCACCCAGGGACCAGGUAUCUCACUGAGUUCACCACCCAGGGACCAGGUAUCUCACUGAGUUCACUACCCAGGUAUCUCACUGAGUUCACCACCCAGGUAUCUCACUGAGUUCACCACCCAGGGACCAGGUAUCUCACUGAGUUCACCACCCAGGGGCCAGCUAUCUCACUGAGUUCAGCACCCAGGUAUCUCACUGAGUUCACCACCCAAGUAUCUCACUGAGUUCACCACCCAGGUAUCUCACUGAGUUCACCACCCAGGGGCCAGCUAUCUCACUGAGUUCAGCACCCAGGUAUCUCACUGAGUUCACCACCCAGGGACCAGGUAUCUCACUGAGUUCACCAUCCAGGUAUCUCAGUGAGUUCACCACCCAGGGACCAGGUAUCUCACUGAGUUCACCACCCAGGUAUCUCACUGAGUUCACCACCCAGGUAUCUCACUGAGUUCAUCAACCAGGGACCAGGUAUCUCAGUGAGUUCACCACCCAGGGACCAGGUAUCUCACUGAGUUCACCACCCAGGUAUCUCACUGAGUUCACCACCCAGGUAUCUCACUGAGUUCACCACCCAGGGACCAGGUAUCUCACUGAGUUCACCACCCAGGUAUCUC